UUCCUUGAACCGCAUGGUUCGCAAGGAUGAAAGACGGUUUCGGCUGUCACUUACAGAUGGACCCGCGGCGCAUUAGCUAGUUGGUGGGGUAAUGGCUCACCAAGGCGACGAUGCGUAGCCAGACCUGAGAGGGUGAUCGGCCACACUGGGACUGAGACACGGCCCAGACUCCUACGGGAGGCAGCAGUAGGGAAUCUUCCGCAAUGGACGAAAGUCUGACGGAGCAACGCCGCGUGAGUGAUGAAGGUUUUCGGAUCGUAAAGCUCUUGUUGUUAGGGAAGAACAAGUGCGAGAGUAACUGCUCGCACCUUGACGGUACCUAACCAGAGGAAGCCACGGCUAACUACGUGCCAGCAGCCGCGGUAAUACGUAGGUGGCAAGCGUUGUCCGGAAUUAUUGGGCGUAAAGGGCUCGCAGGCCGCAAGGUUUCUUAAGUCUGAUGUGAAAGCCCCCGGCUCAGACCGGGGAGGGUCAUUGGAAACUGGGAAACUUGAGUCGCAGAAGAUCGGAGAGUGGAAUUCCACGGUGAAUGUAGCGGUGAAAUGCGUAGAGAUGUGGAGGAACACCAGUGGCGAAAGGCGACUCUCUGAGUCUGUAACUGACGCU
rnacentral:rRNA from 1 species